rnacentral:rRNA from 1 species
ACGCUGGCGGCAUGCCUAACACAUGCAAGUCGAACGAGACCUUCGGGUCUAGUGGCGCACGGGUGCGUAACGCGUGGGGAUCUGCCCUUUGCUUCGGAAUAACAGUUAGAAAUGACUGCUAAUACCGGAUGAUGUCGUAAGACCAAAGAUUUAUCGGCAAAGGAUGAACCCGCGUAGGAUUAGCUAGUUGGUGGGUAAAGGCCUACCAAGGCGACGAUCCUUAGCUGGUCUGAGAGGAUGAUCAGCCACACUGGGACUGAGACACGGCCCAGACUCCUACGGGAGGCAGCAGUGGGGAAUAUUGGACAAUGGGCGAAAGCCUGAUCCAGCAAUGCCGCGUGAGUGAUGAAGGCCUUCGGGUUGUAAAGCUCUUUUACCAGGGAUGAUAAUGACAGUACCUGGAGAAUAAGCUCCGGCUAACUCCGUG